UACGAAGGGGGCAAGCGUUGUUCGGAAUGACUGGGCGUAAAGGGCGCGUAGGCGGUUCGUUGCGUCAGAUGUGAAAGCCCCGGGCUCAACCUGGGAACUGCAUUUGAUACGGGCGAGCUUGAAUCCAAGAGAGGGUGGUGGAAUUCCCAGUGUAGAGGUGAAAUUCGUAGAUAUUGGGAAGAACACCAGUGGCGAAGGCGGCCACCUGGCUUGGUAUUGACGCUGAGGCGCGAAAGCGUGGGGAGCGAACAGG
rnacentral:rRNA from 1 species